UGAUCACCCUGUACCACACUGCUGACUUGUUGAUGUUUUGUGAGCACUCAGGCAUUUCUCUAGGUAUCUUAAGUUUCCUACUGGAGUCAUCAAAACUUUGGACUUUGUUAUUGUAAGAAAUAUUGUGUUGCAAAAACACUUUGUGUCUUACCCUUGCCGUUACCCUAACCUUAACCCCAGUAACAUUUCUUCAUCAUAAACUACAAGUUACGCAAACAUCCAGUCCUAUAUGAAAGAAAAAAGCUAGCUUUAUUAAGGAAUCGAACCCCUUA